rnacentral:rRNA from 1 species
UUAUAUGGUCAAGAAGAGAAGCGCAAACGGUGGAUGCCUUGGCAGUAAGAGGCGAUGAAGGACGUGGAAUCCUGCGAAAAGCUUUGGUGAGCUGGAAACGAGCGAUGAGCCGAAGAUGUCCGAAUGGGGGAACCCGGCUAUGCGUGAGCAUAGUCAUCUAUAGCUGAAUACAUAGGUUAUAGAAGCGAACUCGGGGAACUGAAACAUCUAAGUACCCGAAGGAAAAGAAAUCAAAAGAGAUUCUCCAAGUAGCGGCGAGCGAACGGGGGAGGAGCCGGGCGUGAUUUAUGAUACGAAAGAAUAGAACAACUUGGGAAGGUUGGCCAUAGAGGGUGAAAGCCCCGUAUAUAAAGGUUGUAUCAAGAACUAGGCACGCGAAAAAGUAGGCCGGGACACGUGUAAUCCCAGGAUGAAUAUGGGUGGACCAUCAUCCAAGGCUAAAUACUACUUACUGACCGAUAGUGAACCAGUACAUUGAGCGGAGCGGACGCCAAAAGAACCCCGGAGAGGGGAGUGAAAUAGAACCUGAAACCGUUUGCGUACAAGCAGUGGGAGCAUGGCUUAGGCUGUGUGACUGCGUACCUUUUGUAUAAUGGGUCAGCGAGUUACUUUCAGUGGCGAGGUUAACUGAAUAAGGGAGCCGUAGAGAAAUCGAGUCUGAAUAGGGCGAGAGUCGCUGUGAGUAGACCCGAAACCGGGCGAUCUAGUCAUGUGCAGGAUGAAGGUUGGGUAACACCAACUGGAGGUCCGAACCGGGUAAUGUUGAAAAAUUAUCGGAUGACGUGUGACUAGGAGUGAAAGGCUAAUCAAGCCCGGAGAUAGCUGGUUCUCCCCGAAAGCUAUUUAGGUAGCGCCUCGUGAAUGAUUGUUGGGGGGGUGGAGCACUGGUGCGGCGGGGGGGCUGUCAUGGCUUACCAAACCGAUGCAAACUCCGAAUACCGACUAAUUGAAUCACGGGAGACACACGGCGGGUGCUAACGUCCGUCGUGAAGAGGGAAACAACCCAGACCGCCAGCUAAGGUCCCCAAGUACUAGUUAAGUGGGAAACGAUGUGGGAAGGCACAGACAGCCAGGAGGUUGGCUUAGAAGCAGCCACCCCUUUAAAGAAAGCGUAAUAGCUCACUGGUCGAGUCGGCCUGCGCGGAAGAUGUAACGGGGCUAAAACUAGUCACCGAAGCUGCGGAUGUGUACUAAGUACACGUGGUAGGGGAGCGUUCUGUAAGCUGAUGAAGGUGCAUUGAGAAGUGUGCUGGAGGUAUCAGAAGUGCGAAUGCUGACAUGAGUAACGAUAAUGAGGGUGAAAAAGCCCUCACGCCGUAAGUCCAAUGUUUCCUGCACGACGUUAAUCGGAGCAGGGUGAGUCGGCCCCUAAGGCGAGGCUGAAGAGCGUAGUCGAUGGGAACCAGGUUAAUAUUCCUGGACUUUUUUAUAAGUGGUGAUGUGGGGACGAAGAAGGCUAGAUGAGCCAGGCGUUGGUUGUCCUGGUAUGUGCAUGUAGGGGGAUGGUUUAGGCAAAUCCGGACCGUUAUUAACUCUGAGGUGCGACAUGGUGCUGACACUUCGGUGUACAGCGAAGUCAUUGAUGCCCGGCUUCCAGGAAAAGCUGCUAGCCAUAACUUAUAGAGAACCGUACCGCAAACCGACACAGGUGGACAGGUAGAGAAUACUAAGGCGCUUGAGAGAACUCGGGUGAAGGAACUAGGCAAAAUGGUACCGUAACUUCGGGAGAAGGUACGCCCUUUUUCGGAGAAGGAAUUUACUUUCUGAGCUGAAGAGGGCCGCAGAGACCAGGUGGCUGCGACUGUUUAUUAAAAACACAGCACUCUGCAAAUUCGUAAGAAGACGUAUAGGGUGUGACGCCUGCCCGGUGCCGGAAGGUUAAUUGAUGGGGUUAUCUUCGGAGAAGCUCUUGAUCGAAGCCCCGGUAAACGGCGGCCGUAACUAUAACGGUCCUAAGGUAGCGAAAUUCCUUGUCGGGUAAGUUCCGACCUGCACGAAUGGCGUAACGAUGGCCACACUGUCUCCACCCGAGACUCAGUGAAAUUGAAAUCGCUGUGAAGAUGCAGUGUACCCGCGGCUAGACGGAAAGACCCCGUGAACCUUUACUAUAGUUUUUGCACUGGACUUUGAUGAUGACUGUGUAGGAUAGGUGGGAGGCUAUGAAGUAUCCACGCUAGUGGGUAUGGAGCCGACCUUGAAAUACCACCCUGUUGUUAUUGAGGUUCUAACUUGGUCCCAUUAUCUGGGAUAAGGACAGUGUAUGAUGGGUAGUUUGACUGGGGCGGUCUCCUCCCAAAGAGUAACGGAGGAGCACAAAGGUACCCUCGGUACGGUCGGACAUCGUACCAAGAGUGUAAAGGCAUAAGGGUGCUUGACUGCGAGAGCGACGGCUCGAGCAGGAACGAAAGUUGGUCUUAGUGAUCCGGUGGUUCUGUAUGGAAGGGCCAUCGCUCAACGGAUAAAAGGUACUCCGGGGAUAACAGGCUGAUACCGCCCAAGAGUUCAUAUCGACGGCGGUGUUUGGCACCUCGAUGUCGGCUCAUCACAUCCUGGGGCUGAAGCAGGUCCCAAGGGUAUGGCUGUUCGCCAUUUAAAGUGGUACGCGAGCUGGGUUUAGAACGUCGUGAGACAGUUCGGUCCCCUAUCACGCCUCGGGCGUAGGAAAAUUGAGAGGAGCUGCUCCUAGUACGAGAGGACCGGAGUGGACGAACCUCUGGUGUACCGGUCUCUUAUCCACAUGGCAUUGCCGGGUAGCUAAGUUCGGACGGGAUAACCGCUGAAAGCAUCUAAGCGGGAAGCCUCCCUCAAGAUGAGUUUUUCCCUUGAAGCCCGUUGAAGACUACGACGUUGAUAGGCAAGGUGUGGAAGCGUAGUAAUGCGUGAAGCUAACUUGUACUAAUUGGCUGAUUGUCUUGACCAUAUAAUCUGAG